GCUUAUGUAGCUUAUGUAGAGUUGGGUUUUGAAGAAACCUUGGAGGUUGAGAUUUUGCCUUUAAGCU
rnacentral:tRNA from 1 species